GAUGAACGCUAGCGGCAGGCCUAAUACAUGCAAGUCGAGGGGCAGCGCAGUGUAGCAAUACAUGGGCGGCGACCGGCAAACGGGUGCGGAACACGUACGCAACCUUCCUUUAAGUGGGGGAUAGCCCAGGGAAACUUGGAUUAAUACCCCGUAAUAUUAUGAAGUGGCAUCACUUUAUACUUAUAGCUCCGGCGCUUAAAGAUGGGCGUGCGACUGAUUAGGUAGUUGGCGGGGUAACGGCCCACCAAGCCGGCGAUCAGUAACUGGCGUGAGGGCACGACCAGUCAAACGGGCACUGAGACACGGGCCCGAGUCCUACGGGAGGCAGCAGUAAGGAAUAUUGGUCAAUGGACGCAAGUCUGAACCAGCCAUGCCGCGUGGAGGAUGAAGGUCCUCUGGAUUGUAAACUUCUUUUAUUUGGGAAGAAACCCACUGUUUCUACGGUGGUUGACGGUACCAGAUGAAUAAGCACCGGCUAACUCCGUGCCAGCCGCCGCGGUAA
rnacentral:rRNA from 1 species